rnacentral:rRNA from 1 species
GCUCAGAUUGAACGCUGGCGGCAGGCCUAACACAUGCAAGUCGAGCGGAUGAAGGGAGCUUGCUCCUGGAUUCAGCGGCGGACGGGUGAGUAAUGCCUAGGAAUCUGCCUGGUAGUGGGGGAUAACGUUCGGAAAGGGACGCUAAUACCGCAUACGUCCUGAGGGAGAAAGUGGGGGAUCUUCGGACCUCACGCUAUCAGAUGAGCCUAGGUCGGAUUAGCUAGUUGGUGGGGUAAAGGCCUACCAAGGCGACGAUCCGUAACUGGUCUGAGAGGAUGAUCAGUCACACUGGAACUGAGACACGGUCCAGACUCCUACGGGAGGCAGCAGUGGGGAAUAUUGGACAAUGGGCGAAAGCCUGAUCCAGCCAUGCCGCGUGUGUGAAGAAGGUCUUCGGAUUGUAAAGCACUUUAAGUUGGGAGGAAGGGCAGUAAGUUAAUACCUUGCUGUUUUGACGUUACCAACAGAAUAAGCACCGGCUAACUUCGUGCCAGCAGCCGCGGUAAUACGAAGGGUGCAAGCGUUAAUCGGAAUUACUGGGCGUAAAGCGCGCGUAGGUGGUUCAGCAAGUUGGAUGUGAAAUCCCCGGGCUCAACCUGGGAACUGCAUCCAAAACUACUGAGCUAGAGUACGGUAGAGGGUGGUGGAAUUUCCUGUGUAGCGGUGAAAUGCGUAGAUAUAGGAAGGAACACCAGUGGCGAAGGCGACCACCUGGACUGAUACUGACACUGAGGUGCGAAAGCGUGGGGAGCAAACAGGAUUAGAUACCCUGGUAGUCCACGCCGUAAACGAUGUCGACUAGCCGUUGGGAUCCUUGAGAUCUUAGUGGCGCAGCUAACGCGAUAAGUCGACCGCCUGGGGAGUACGGCCGCAAGGUUAAAACUCAAAUGAAUUGACGGGGGCCCGCACAAGCGGUGGAGCAUGUGGUUUUAUGCGAAGAACCUUACCUGGCCUUGACAUG